GUUGUAUGGUUAAGUGACUAAGCGUACACGGUGGAUGCCUUGGCAGUCAGAGGCGAUGAAAGACGUAGUAACUUGCGAUAAGCCCAGAUUAGGUAGUAACAACCAUUUGAGUCUGGGAUUUCUGAAUGGGGAAACCCACGUGCAUAAGCACGUAUCCUUACCUGAAUACAUAGGGUAAGGAGGCGAACCGGGGGAACUGAAACAUCUAAGUACCCCGAGGAAAAGAAAUCAACCGAGAUUCCGAAAGUAGCGGCGAGCGAAAUUGGACUAGCCCUUAAGCUUUACACGCGUUAGACGAACGGUCUGGAAAGUCCGACGAUACAGGGUGAUAGUCCCGUAGUUGACGACGUGUGUUCAGUGAAAUCGAGUAGGGCGGGACACGUGAUAUCCUGUCUGAAUAUGGGGGGACCAUCCUCCAAGGCUAAAUACUACUGACUGACCGAUAGUGAACCAGUACCGUGAGGGAAAGGCGAAAAGAACCCCUGUGAGGGGAGUGAAAUAGAACCUGAAACCGUGUACGUACAAGCAGUAGGAGCAGGCUUUGUCCUGUGACUGCGUACCUUUUGUAUAAUGGGUCAGCGACUUAUAUUCAGUGGCAAGGUUAACCAUCUAGGGGAGCCGUAGGGAAACCGAGUCUUAACUGGGCGUUCAGUCUCUGGAUAUAGACCCGAAACCAGGUGAUCUAGCCAUGGGCAGGUUGAAGGUUGAGUAACAUCAACUGGAGGACCGAACCGACUAAUGUUGAAAAAUUAGCGGAUGACUUGUGGCUAGGGGUGAAAGGCCAAUCAAACCUGGAGAUAGCUGGUUCUCCCCGAAAGCUAUUUAGGUAGCGCCUCGGACGAAUACUACUGGGGGUAGAGCACUGUUAAGGCUAGGGGGUCAUCCCGACUUACCAACCCUUUGCAAACUCCGAAUACCAGUAAGUACUAUCCGGGAGACACACGGCGGGUGCUAACGUCCGUCGUGGAGAGGGAAACAACCCAGACCGCCAGCUAAGGUCCCAAAUUACUACUAAGUGGGAAACGAUGUGGGAAGGCUCAGACAGCCAGGAUGUUGGCUUAGAAGCAGCCAUCAUUUAAAGAAAGCGUAAUAGCUCACUGGUCGAGUCGGCCUGCGCGGAAGAUGUAACGGGGCUAAGUAGUAAACCGAAGCUGCGGCAAUAUACUUUUGUAUAUUGGGUAGGGGAGCGUUCUGUAAGCGGUUGAAGGUGUGUGGUAACGCAUGCUGGACGUAUCAGAAGUGCGAAUGCUGACAUGAGUAACGAUAAAGGGGGUGAAAAACCUCCUCGCCGGAAGACCAAGGGUUCCUGUCCAACGUUAAUCGGGGCAGGGUAAGUCGACCCCUAAGGCGAGGCCGAAAGGCGUAGUCGAUGGGAAACGGGUUAAUAUUCCCGUACUUCUUACAAUUGCGAUGGGGGGACGGAGAAGGCUAGGUGGGCCUGGCGACGGUUGUCCAGGUUCAAGUGCGUAGGCUUAAGAGUUAGGUAAAUCCGGCUCUUUCUAAGGCUGAGACACGACGUCGAGCACCUACGGGUGUGAAGUCAUUGAUGCCAUGCUUCCAGGAAAAGCCUCUAAGCUUCAGAUUGUAAGGAAUCGUACCCCAAACCGACACAGGUGGUCGGGUAGAGAAUACCAAGGCGCUUGAGAGAACUCGGGUGAAGGAACUAGGCAAAAUGGUACCGUAACUUCGGGAGAAGGUACGCUCUUGAUGGUGAAGUCCCUUGCGGAUGGAGCUGACGAGAGUCGCAGAUACCAGGUGGCUGCAACUGUUUAUUAAAAACACAGCACUGUGCAAAAUCGUAAGAUGACGUAUACGGUGUGACGCCUGCCCGGUGCCGGAAGGUUAAUUGAUGGGGUUAGACUUCGGUCGAAGCUCUUGAUCGAAGCCCCGGUAAACGGCGGCCGUAACUAUAACGGUCCUAAGGUAGCGAAAUUCCUUGUCGGGUAAGUUCCGACCUGCACGAAUGGCGUAAUGAUGGCCACGCUGUCUCCACCCGAGACUCAGUGAAAUUGAAAUCGCUGUGAAGAUGCAGUGUACCCGCGGCUAGACGGAAAGACCCCGUGAACCUUUACUACAGCUUGGCACUGAACAUUGACCCUACAUGUGUAGGAUAGGUGGGAGGCUUUGAAGCACGUACGCCAGUAUGUGUGGAGCCGUCCUUGAAAUACCACCCUUGUAGUGUUGAUGUUCUAACGUCGACCCCUAAUCGGGGUUGCGGACAGUGCCUGGUGGGUAGUUUGACUGGGGCGGUCUCCUCCCAAAGAGUAACGGAGGAGCACGAAGGUGGGCUAAUCACGGUUGGACAUCGUGAGGUUAGUGCAAUGGCAUAAGCCCGCUUGACUGCGAGAAUGACAAUUCGAGCAGGUGCGAAAGCAGGUCAUAGUGAUCCGGUGGUUCUGAAUGGAAGGGCCAUCGCUCAACGGAUAAAAGGUACUCCGGGGAUAACAGGCUGAUACCGCCCAAGAGUUCAUAUCGACGGCGGUGUUUGGCACCUCGAUGUCGGCUCAUCACAUCCUGGGGCUGAAGUCGGUCCCAAGGGUAUGGCUGUUCGCCAUUUAAAGUGGUACGCGAGCUGGGUUUAGAACGUCGUGAGACAGUUCGGUCCCUAUCUGCCGUGGGCGUUGGAAGAUUGAAGGGGGCUGCUCCUAGUACGAGAGGACCGGAGUGGACGAACCUCUGGUGUUCGGGUUGUGUCGCCAGACGCAUUGCCCGGUAGCUAAGUUCGGAAUCGAUAACCGCUGAAAGCAUCUAAGCGGGAAGCGAGCCCUGAGAUGAGUCUUCCCUGAUACUUUAAGUAUCCUAAAGGGUUGUCGGAGACUACGACGUUGAUAGGUCAGGUGUGUAAGUGCUGUGAGGCAUUGAGCUAACUGAUACUAAUUGCCCGUGAGGCUUAACCAUACAACACCCAAGGGGUUU
rnacentral:rRNA from 1 species